rnacentral:rRNA from 1 species
GAUGAACGCUGGCGGCGUGCCUAAUACAUGCAAGUCGAGCGAAUGGAUUAAGAGCUUGCUCUUAUGAAGUUAGCGGCGGACGGGUGAGUAACACGUGGGUAACCUGCCCAUAAGACUGGGAUAACUCCGGGAAACCGGGGCUAAUACCGGAUAACAUUUUGAACCGCAUGGUUCGAAAUUGAAAGGCGGCUUCGGCUGCCACUUAUGGAUGGACCCGCGUCGCAUUAGCUAGUUGGUGAGGUAACGGCUCACCAAGGCAACGAUGCGUAGCCGACCUGAGAGGGUGAUCGGCCACACUGGGACUAAGACACGGCCCAGACUCCUACGGGAGGCAGCAGUAGGGAAUCUUCCGCAAUGGACGAAAGUCUGACGGAGCAACGCCGCGUGAGUGAUGAAGGCUUUCGGGUCGUAAAACUCUGCUGUUAGGGAAGAACAAGUGCUAGUUGAAUAAGCUGGCACCUUGACGGUACCUAACCAGAAAGCCACGGCUAACUACGUGCCAGCAGCCGCGGUAA